GUUUCCGUAGUGUAGUGGUUAUCACGUUCGCCUUACCCGCGAAAAGUCCCUAGUUCAAUCCUGGGUGGGAACA